rnacentral:rRNA from 1 species
GAUGAACGCUGGCGGCGUGCCUAAUACAUGCAAGUCGAGCGAACGGACGAGAAGCUUGCUUCUCUGAUGUAGCGGCGGACGGGUGAGUAACACGUGGAUAACCUACCUAUAAGACUGGGAUAACUUCGGGAAACCGUAGCUAAUACCGGAUAAUAUUUUGAACCGCAUGGUUCAAAAGUGAAAGACGGUCUUGCUGUCACUUAUAGAUGGAUCCGCGCUGCAUUAGCUAGUUGGUAAGGUAACGGCUUACCAAGGCAACGAUGCAUAGCCGACCUGAGAGGGUGAUCGGCCACACUGGAACUGAGACACGGUCCAGACUCCUACGGGAGGCAGCAGUAGGGAAUCUUCCGCAAUGGGCGAAAGCCUGACGGAGCAACGCCGCGUGAGUGAUGAAGGUCUUCGGAUCGUAAAACUCUGUUAUUAGGGAAGAACAUAUGUGUAAGUAACUGUGCACAUCUUGACGGUACCUAAUCAGAAAGCCACGGCUAACUACGUG